AGUAAGGCAGGUGACGCUGUGCAAUAUUGCAUAAUGAUGGCGGGGCGCUAUCUGUGAAAAGGUGAAAUCUGCACAUGAAUAGUAGCGGGUACGGGUCCGUGAAGAACAGUUGCAACUAGCAUUAUUCAUGUGUUGAUUUCACUUUUUUGUUGCAUCUUGUACAAGUUUGCAUUGCAUCUCAAAUUUUGCAUGAUGGUAGAAGAUGACAUGAGCUAUCCAUUUAUAUUUUUCUGGAAUUUUUCUAUC
rnacentral:lncRNA from 1 species